UGCAUGCCCAACAUUCUGUCUAUCUGACAGCUGUCUUGAUCACAAAACUUAGCUUUCGGCGUUUUGUUGUGAGCCAUCUAAAUGCAGGAAGCAACAGGACACAGGCCUUCAACAAAAUGGCACCCAAUACCACACGCAACCAGCUGAUUAUCAUAUUCAUUUUCCUCAGGUGUUUAAAAAGUCUCCUGAGGGCCCUUUUCCUGAGCAGCCGCCAUCAUCGCUGCCUGAGUGGACUGAGGGAGCCGAUGGGAGAGAAAGAGGGAGGAUGCUGCACCUUGGCGGAGAAAGGGAGGAGGAGGACGAGGAGGAGGAAUUAAUUUUUCCCCUCUGGGAAGAAACACAUGCUGAAUCUCAAGAGUUAGCAGUGAAUCUACCUAUCUUACUCUGAUUGGCAUUAAGAGGGAGGAAG
rnacentral:lncRNA from 1 species